rnacentral:rRNA from 1 species
CCUACGGGCGGCUGCAGUGGGGAAUAUUGGGCAAUGGGCGCAAGCCUGACCCAGCAACGCCGCGUGAAGGAAGAAGGCUUUCGGGUUGUAAACUUCUUUUGACAGGGAAGAGCAGAAGACGGUACCUGUCGAAUACGCCACGGCUAACUACGUGCCAGCAGCCGCGGUAAUACGUAGGUGGCAAGCUUUGUCCGGAUUUACUGGGGGUAAAGGGCGUUUAGCCGGGCUGACAAGUCAGAUGUGAAAUCCGGGGUCUCAACCCCCGAAGUGCAUUUGAAACUGUUGGUCUUGAGUAUCGGAGAGGCAGGCGGAAUGCCUAGUGUAGCGGUGAAAUGCGGAGAUAUUAGGAGGAACACCAGUGGCGAAGGCGGCCUGCUGGACGACAACUGACGGUGAGGCGCGAAAGCGUGGGGAGCAAACAGGAUUAGAUACCCGAGUAGUC